rnacentral:lncRNA from 1 species
GCUGGGAAGGGAUAGGUAGGCUUAACGAAAACCCUCGGGGAUGGAUACAUGGGCUUUUCGUAAUCUUUGGGUGAGGGGUAUUUUACCCGCGGGAGUUCUGGGAGGGGAGUCAGAGUGCGGGAAGUCCCUGAACCUGAAGAUUUUCCGGAGAUGUCACUCCCCUCCUUGCUUUCCUCCCGACUAUCCUCCACCCCCGUGUUCAUUACACGAUUCAUGAUUCCCCAAGUAACUACCAGGGGAGAAACUGAAGUGUCCCCCUCCCUUAGAACAUCCCACAGGCAGUCUCCCAGACUGCCCCAUGUCUCCAGAGAGAACGCCUCUUUCGGAUCGUCUGGGAAUCCAGCCUGUUUGCCCCAAGCCAGUAACGCGAUUAAAUCGCUGUCUGGAAUGGGUUUUUCCAGGGUUUCCAGGACACUCUUCCAGAUGGAGAGGAUAGGAUCCUCCUGCCGGGUCAAAUGACUUCCCAUCAGUCAAAAUUUUUCCACCUAGCCACUAAGCCAGGAGGGAGGGAAACAGAAAACAAUUCCUUUCUCGGAUGCAGAGAGGGGAAGAGAGCGACGAGAAUCGCAGUUUCUUGAGCGGUCUCUCGGUGGCUGCCUGGGCUCUCAACUCGGGUCUGCUGGGUUUCGCACUGCGGGCUGCGCUCCGCUCAGUUCUCCGUGCAGUUCGAGGGACGAUCCGAUCGUGACCCGCAGGUGCAAUCUCAGUGGACACCACCAGAUGUCACUAUCACGCGAGUGAAAGCAAUGACAGCAACACAGGACUUCUUCAGAGAAGAGAGCCGUUUAUUGAAUGAACCGCAGGAAACUCAGCUGGCACAGACCCUGCCUUUGGACUUUGCUGUUCAUAACAUCCAACCAGGAGAUUGGGUCCCAGUUAAGGAGUGGAAAGAAGCAACACUGGUGGUGAAGUGGCGUGGACCUUUGCAAGUAUUACCACAGAAACAACCAUCAAGACAGCUGAACACGCACGAGUGGACCCAUCAUACUCAAGUCAAGGUCUCUAAAACCCCAGAGAGUUGGACUUCAAAGCAGAAGAAAAAGAAUGGGAGACCUCGGCAACUUUGUUCUCUGUAUUUACUGUAUUCUCUGCUUCUCUGUAUUUACUUGCCACACCUGAUGCAGGCAUUGGACUGGAAAAGUCGGGAGGGGGUGUUUCAAAUGUUCUAA